rnacentral:lncRNA from 1 species
UGCGCUGUGCUUGAGGACAAAGCUCUACUUCGACAUGCCCUGCGCGCACCUUUCACGUGGUGAAUUCCUCCAUCAACACUCUGUCUGUUUGCCGCGGUGCGCCACCGCUCCCGACCGGCCCCUCCGGUGCACAGCGACGCCAACAGCAAUACCUUAUCAUCUUCUCCUGCCAUCAGAGGAGGACCUCUGUUGUUCGGCGAUUCUCGAUCGUUCAUUUGGGUUGCUAGGGGCGAUGCCGCUCGCGGGCGCCACAAGCUUUUCGAUCAAUCUAGGUGCCUGUCACCUUCUUAGCGAUAUCCGCCCCAUAUACAUGCUAUCACACAUAUGAGUAGGCUCAUGAGCAUCAUACAUUUGGGGUUGUUUGGCUGAAAUUUUCUCAACCGUAUGUUUGCUCUUUGUGCAUUGGACAUUUGGAUGGACAUCCAAUCACAUGCUGAUAUAUUUUCUCCAUUUUAGAAUGUAAGACGUUUUGUCGAGGAACUAUUAACAUUAAACACUUGAUAAAUUUAAGAACGACAAAUGCAAAUGUCUUCAAGCAUCUUGAUUAUAGGAGACCGGAUAACUUUGGCUCAGUUAAUACAUACUGUAUGUAAGAUGAGCAUGUAAUACUUGAGGGUGUGCGAUGCGAAAAUGUCUUACCCUUCGAGGGGGGCGUGGUACGUGAGUAAGGGGUCGCAGAGACCGGGCUCCAGGGAGCCCGUUUUACCCAAAAAAAAAAUCAAAAUAUAUUUAAAAGUUUCAAAAAAUGCCAUUUUUUUGUACAAAUACAUAUGCAUGUUCUUUAAGUAUGUAUAAAUUUUCAGUAACUAAUUUGAUCAUUUGAAUGCUACACAAAAAAGACAAAAAUCUGACACAAAUACAACAAAGAAAAAGCCUAUUUCAAUAUGUGUAUUUGUCUUUUUUGUAUACAUCACAUAUGAAUACAUAUGUUUAUGAAAAUUUGUACACGUAUACUUUAAGUAUAUGUCUAUAUGAAAACAUUUUUUCAGAUUUUUUUGAGUUAUGGAAAAGGUAUUUUGGCUGAGAAAUGUAUAUAGAGCUUAGUGGAGCUCGGCCUCUGCGGCCACUUUUCGCGUGGUACGUGUUAUAUAGGGGAUUGCGAGUCCCUGAUACGCGUACAAUUCUGUUGGAGAUACAUGACUUGAGGGAGAAGAAGGAUAGGAGAUAAGAAGUAUAGUUACAACCGAAUACAGAAUUUAAACUACCCAUACGGCUAUCUACCUUAUCUAUCUCCUCAUACAUAUCUCAUUUGACACCCUCCCUUAAUCACAACUUCAUCAAGUUGAGAUUAUGCUUGAAAUCUUCAAAACUCCUUGUAGGCAAAGCUUUUGUAAACCCAUCUGCCACUUGAUCCCUUGAAUGAAUGAAACGAAUGUCCAAGAGUUUAUUAGCAACUCUCUUUCUGACAAAAUGGAAAUCUAUUUCAAUGUGCUUUGUUCUAGCAUGAAAUACUGGGUUUGCAGACAAAUAAGUGGCACCAAGAUUAUCACACCAUAAGCAUGAAGCUUGAGAACUUUUCACACCUAACUCCUUCAAGAUUGACUGUACCCAGAUGAUUUCUGCUGUUGCAUUGGCCAAGGCCUUGUAUUCUGCUUCAGUGCUUGACCUGGACACUUUGGCUUGUUUUCUGGCACACCAUGAUAUAAGGUUGGGUCCAAAAAAUACUGCAAAGCCACCAGUGGAGCGUCCGUCAUCCAAACAUCCUGCCCAAUCUGAAUCAGAAAAGGCACUGACAAAAGUAGAGGGUGACUUGCUGACGUUUAGACCAACAUUCAAAGUAUACUUGACAUAUCUGACAAUGCGCUUAGCUGCAGUCAAGUGAACUGUGGUGGGUGCAUGUAGGAACUGACAUACUUUGUUGACAGCAAAGGAAAUGUCUGGCCUGGUCAAUGUUAAGUACUGAAGUGCACCUACAAGACUUCUGUAUUUUGUACUAUCCUCUGGACCCAAAAGUGUUCCCUCUGUAAGAGAUAAUUUUUCUGUACUAGAGAGAGGAGUGGGUGUGGGUUUACAACCUUGCAAACCUGUCUUCCUUACCAAAUCUGUGGCUAUUUUUCCUGAGAAAGAUGUAGCCCAUCCUUGUGCUGCUUCACCUCAAUUCCUAGGAAGUAAUGCAAUUCUCCUAGAUCCUUGAGAGCAAAUUCAGCACCUAAAUCCUUCAAGAGUCCUGAUAUUGCCUCAUUAGAUGAGCUCGUGACAAUAAUAUCAUCAACAUAUAUGAGAACAAACAUGAAAGUGUUGAACUUGUUAUAAAUGAACAAGGAGGUGUCAGAUUUGAAAGGAACAAAGCCAAGUGUCUGCAUCUUUUUACUGAGACGAGAAUACCAUUGCCUUGGAGCUUGUUUCAGUCCAUAUAAUGCUUUAUCUAGCUUGCACACAUAGGAAGGUGUAUAUUUGCAUUCAAACCCAGGAGGUUGCUUCAUGUACACUUCCUCUUCCAGAACACUGUGAAGAAACGCGUUCGGUACGUCUAAUUGUCGAAGGCUCCAUCCCCUGGAAACAGCAAUAGACAGUACGAGACGAAUGGUAGCAGCUUUUACAACUGGACUAAAAGUAUCCUUGUAGUCUAUGCCAUACCGUUGCUUGAAGCCUUUUGCAACUAGUCUAGCCUUAUAGCGAUCAAUGGUUUCAUCAGACUUUCUCUUAAUUCUGAAUACCCACUUGCAGUCAAUGAGAUUUUUACCUUGCUUGGGGGGAACCAAGUGCCACGUUUUAUUUCUUUCGAGUGCCUUAUAUUCUUCUAUCAUUGCCUUUUUCCACCUGUCAUCGCUGAGAGCAUCUUCAAUUGUGUUGGGCUCACCUGGUUCACCUGUGGAACAAACUAGACCAUAUUUGGUUAUGUUCUUGUAAUUUUUCGGUUGAAUCAAACCUUGCUGUAAUCUUGUGCGGUGUUUUGGUGAACCAGCAGGAUUUACAGCCACAGAGGAUCCCGCAGGAGCCAGAUCAGCAACAGAACUCGAGGAAGAUUCGCCCGCCACUGUCGGUUCUGGAUGCACGAGAUUUUCUGUGGCUGUGACCCGAGGCGAUGGUGGGGGAGACGCCGCAGGGGCCGCAGACGAUCCAGGGGCGCCGACCGGCUCAUCAUGAGCGCGUGAUUGCGCGGGCCUGCCUGAAUCAGGAGCCGACCCCGCAUCCGCCUGGCGCGUGAGGCCGCGCCGCUUGUAGCAAACCGGCUGGUCUGCGAAGCGUGUGCGGUCUGGGCCACUGUCGCGCUGCCGCGUGGCGGCAGGAGACCGGUGCGGGCUGGAGGGUGCAUCUCGCCCUGUCAGAGGGGGCCGCGCGUCAUGCAGCGGGCCGCUGGAGCCCACGCAACCGACCGCGCCUGGUGCAUCUGACGCGGGCGUGCGGCUGGUUGUUGGCACGGAUCCUAGAGGCAAUUGCCUGGGCAUCUGCAGCUCCGAUCCCGAGGGGGAUUUGCUCCCCUUGCCGCGACACAUGUGAUGAGGGCCAUCUGGAUGGAUUUUGUCACCGUUUGGGUUGAUUUCUUCGCCAUUUUCUUCUCUGUUUCCAUAGUGUGGUGCUCCUGUAACAUCAUCAGGUGACUCAUGCGCAAGAGGGUUAGCCAACAUAUGAUCACAACAAUUAUCAACACCCCCUUGAUCAUAACCAGAGAGACUUGGAGGAAGCAAAAGAAUUUCUUUUUGAUGUAGAGCACCAGCAUUUGGAUGAAGAUCAGAAAAAGGGAAUUUGGUCUCAUCAAAAACCACGUCGCGUCAUAUAUAGACUCGACCAGUGGAGAUGUCAAGGCACUUUACACCUUUGUGUUGGGCGCUGUACCCAAGGAAAGCACAUUGGAUUGAUCGAAACAUGAGCUUGCGUUUGUUGUAUGGGCAUAGGUUAGGCCAGCACGCACACCCAAACACACGAAGAGUGGAAUAGUCAGGUUUGACAUGAAGAAGGCGUUCUACUGGAGUUUCAUUAUUUAUGACACGACUAGGGAGCAUGUUGAUAAUGUGUACAACAGUAAGAAACGCUUCGUCCCAAAACUUUAAUGGCAUGGACGCAUGAGCUAAAAGAGCAAGACCAACUUCAACAAUGUGACGGUGUUUGCGCUCAGCUGAGCCAUUCUGUUGGUGAGCGUGAGGGCAUGACACAUGGUGUGAGAUGCCAAGGGUUUGGAAGAAGGAGUUCAACUUCUCGUAUUCCCCUCCCCAAUCGGAUUGGACAUCGAUGAUUUUGAAAUCAAAUUUACGCUCAACAAGUGCUUGAAAGUUUUUAAACACUUGGAAAACAUCGGAUCUUUUCUUAAGAAGAUAGAUCCAGGAAAACUUGCUAUAGUCAUCAAUAAAGCUUAGGUAGUAAGUGUGCCGACCAACAGAGCUAGGGGCUGGUCCCCAAACAUCAGAAAAGAUCAAUUGUAAUGGUUGAGUAGACACACUAGUAGAAAUUGGAUAGGGGAGUUGAUGACUUUUAGCUCGCUGACAAGAAUCACAAAUAGUUUCAACAUUGCGCUCACCAACAUACGGGAGCUUAUUUUUCCUAAGAAGUUUUUCAACUAAAGCAAAAGAAGCAUGUCCUAAACGAUCGUGCCAUCAUGUUGACGAGAGUUUGACAACACCAAAAGCCUGUUUAUUGAAUCUUGUGCGCUCCGGAAUCAACGGGUAAAGCCCUCGAACACAUCUACCUCGAUAGAGGAUUCUCUUCGUGGCCUGAUCCUUGAUCAAAAAGAAAUAUGGAUGAAAUUCAAGAAAAACGUGAUUAUCAAGAGCAAUUCUAUGAACAGAAAGAAGGCUUUUAUUGGCACUAGGGACAUGCAAGAUUUUCUUAAGAUGAAUUUUUCUACGGGGGGUAUGAAAAAUUGAGUGACCAAUGUGGUUAAUCCUCAUACCUUCACCACUAGCUGUGUGGAUUUGAUCCUUGCCACGAUACUUUUCCUUCAUUGUCACCUUUUCAAGUUCAUUGGUGAUGUGGUUGGUGGCGCCACUGUCGACGUACCAAUUGGUGUCGAUCCCAUAGGAGCCAUCCGCAGCAGCAGCAAGUUUGUCCUCGUCUUGGGAGUCGUCGUCGUCGUCGUCGUAGCGAUACCAGCAGUCUUUGGCCGUAUGCCCAAGCUUACCACAGAUCUGGCAGCGAGGUGCAUCUGGCCGUGACCUGGUGGAGCCACCGCGACGGCCCCUGUUGUUGCCAGAAGAGGGCCGCCCGCCGCCGCCGCGAGUGCUGGAGUUGCUGUUGCCGUGUCCCCCGCCCGAGGCCUUGCCCCUGUUGCGAGGUGAUCCGCGCUGAUGCGAGGAGCCGCCGCCGCGGCCACGAAAAGCGGCGUUGGCCGACGACUUGAAGCCGCCCGAGGCCUGGAAAAGCGCCACGCGCUGGUCGAAGUUGCUCAUCAUGGACAAGAGCUCGCCGAGGGAGACAGGCACGAUGCGAGCGUCGAGGGCGGACACCAGGGGCUGGUAGUCCAUGUCCAGCCCAUGGAGGAUGUAGGAGACAAGCUCGUCAUCUUGCAGAGGCUUGCCGGCCGCGGCGAGUUCGUCCGCGAGGCCGCGCAUGUGGGCGAAGUAAGUGGCGACAGACUGAUUCCCCUUCUGCGCGUUGAUGAGGGCCGUGCGGAUGUUGUUCACCCGGCUGAGAGACUGCGAUGAAAACAUGCCCGCCAGAGCAGCCCAGAGCGCGGGCGACGUGGUGAUCGCGGUCACCUGCACAAGAACCUGUUUGGACAGAUUGUUGAGCAGAUAACCAAGUACCUGGUGGUCCUCCUUGACCCAGAUUGGGUGGAGAGGGUUGGGCGACGAGGACUCCUUCCCGUCUUUGUCCUUGGUGACGAGGAGUCGAGCCGGCUCCGAUGUGGUGCCGUCGGCAUAGCCAAAGACACCAGCACCCCGCAGCUGCGGCACGAUCUGGGCGCGCCACAGAACAUAGUUCGUGCGGGUGAGCUUCUCCGUAACCUGUUGGUUGAGGUUUGUGUGGGAGGAGCCGGAGGAAGACAUGGCUAGGGCACUAAUGGCGAUGAGCUAGGCUAGAUGAGAUUGGAAGAGGAGGCUCUGUAUACCAUGUGCGAUGCGGAAACGUCUUACCCUUCGAGGGGGACGUGGUACGUGUUAUAUAGGGGAUUGCGAGUCCCUGAUACGCGUACAAUUCUGUUGGAGAUACAUGACUUGAGGGAGAAGAAGGAUAGGAGAUAAGAAGUAUAGUUACAACCGAAUACAGAAUUUAAACUACCCAUGCGGCUAUCUAUCUUAUCUAUCUCCUCAUACAUAUCUCAUUUGACAGAGGGAAGGAUAGCGCAGAUAUUUCAUUGUUUUAAUAUUCAAUUCAAUAUAAAAUGGACAGUUGUUCUUUGGAAUGCGGUUGGGUCUAGGUUCAGAAAAAUUCCCCCCAUUACAGUGAUUAUUCCUUUUUACACCAUCUUUAUUUAGAAAUUCUGGUAUCCAUUCAUGUAACAGUUGUUUCUCAGCUUCCGUCUCGGUAAUCAAUUUUUAGACCACGAGUAUGCUGACUGGUCACUUCUCGGCUUAGAACAUGGUGUGAUUUUCACAAGAGGGUGACAAGAGGGUGAUUAUUCAAUGUGCAGUCCCCUUGCUCCUGAAUCGGCUUAAAACAUGGUGUGAUUUUCACGUUGCCGUCCUGUUUUUUCCUCCAUUUUUUCUUGUCUUGUUCUACUGCCAUUGUUCUAUGGAUUUUAUCCACUUAUUUUCUAGUUUAACACUGCUGGUCAUGGGCUGGUCUAAAAUUUGUUACAUGAAAUCCAGAUUAAAACAGUUACGAAGUUCAGAUUGUUAGAGUUUUCAGAUUGUGCAUCUUGAGCAAUCAAACUGAGCCUAUUUUAUUCUUACAUAAUAGUGCUUAGAAGCUCCAUCAUCUGCUUCAUAGUGUCACUACAAGCAAAGAAUAGGCAUCAUCAAGUUUUGUGUCAUGGUAUUAAUUGAUUAUUGUAUACUGUACAUGCUAUGAUAGUUUCAAGAGCGUUCAAGAUUUUCAUGAAGUCAAACCAAGUUUGCAGGAUUAUUGAGAAAUUGAUUUGAACUGUAACAGUAGAACUUUAAAUAAGAAGUUAUAAUGCAUGGCACCAAAAUUGAGUAUUGUGUCUAUUUGUAAUGGAUUUGGCGAGUGAUUCGAGUAUUGCCGAGAUUUAAAACUGCCCAAUCAUUGAACAAUUCAGUUGGCCUAUUAGGAAUUCAGGCCUGUCCUUGGAGAUGGCGAGUGUUUCUACAUGAGCUUCAUAUUUUCCUACCUUGUAUUAAUCCUUCUCCCUAUAUCUUGGCAAAGGAUGUAAGUUUAGUUAUUUAACUCUAUUUAUCCUAAUAUACAUCAGGAGGAAGUUCUUGAUUGGCAGGACACAGUUGAGGAAAGCCGUGUCCUUGUAGCUGUUGAACGAGUUGCUACGCAACAUGCACAUCUAGGAUGGACCCCUGCAUUUUCUACGAACUCCAAAGUACGCUCUAUCCUUCUGCCUUCCCUGAGACAAACAUGCUUGUAAGGGAUGAUUCUCUUCAAAUUGCAGCAUGGUUGAUUACUUGAAGCUGGGUCUGGCAUCUUACUAUGUUUGUUUUAUCAUUUGCAGGACUAAACAGUGUUGGCAUGGCACUACAGUUUCAUAGCUUGUUCAUAUAAAGACAUAAGUACUCCCUUCAUUUCAUAAUGUAGUGCUUCCUCUAUCCUCGUGCUUCAACUUUGACUGUAAAUUUAACUACCAAGACCGAUUGCGGCGGGAGCGAAAAUUAUAUCAGUGAAUUCGUAUUCGAAAGAAGUUUUCAAUUAUAUAAUUUUUUCUCCUGCCGCAGUUGGUCUCGUUGGUUAAAUUUAUGGUCAAAGUUGGACCUCAGGAAUCGCGGGCGCACUAUAUUUUAAAAUGGAGGGAGUAGUUAAUAACGCAACUUUAGCCAAAAUGCACCUUAAGAGUUGUUUACAUGCAAAAUGAGACAAUAUAAUUGCAUUCUUUGAACAAUGAAAAGAUGCAUAUGUGC